GCCUGCUGGCUUGUGUGGAACGGAAUACGAUAAUAUAGUUCACCGUAGGCCCCCUUUUCUGCGCCGAUAUAUCUUGCCAUGCAUAUUAUAUCGCCCACGGAAGGUAAGGUUAAUUUGCGUCACGUCACCAUAUAUCGCGUCAAUGAACACGCGGAACGGACGGGCUUCGCUUAUGAAAUAUACCUCACGCUGAGCCUGAUGAUGUGCGAUCUUCUAUGUGUUCCCUAAACGCUGUGAAAUGUGACAUGCGUGGUUGAUCAGCUCUGCGCGAGAUUUAAUGUUCAACCUAAUUAGCCUAAACGAAUGGAUUUCGGCACGUUA
rnacentral:lncRNA from 1 species